rnacentral:tRNA from 1 species
GGGGGCCUGUGAACUGCGGAGCCAAUCGCCUUUGCAAGGCGAGGGUCAGGGGUUCGAAUCCCCUAGCCUCCACCA